GAUGAACGCUGGCGGCGUGCCUAAUACAUGCAAGUCGAGCGAACAGACGAGGAUCUUGCUCCUCUUACGUUAGCGGCGGACGGGUGAGUAACACGUGGAUAACCUACCUAUAAGACUGGGAUAACUUCGGGAAACCGGAGCUAAUACCGGAUAAUAUAUUGAACCGCAUGGUUCAAUAGUUAAAGACGGUUUUGCUGUCACUUAUAGAUGGAUCCGCGCCGCAUUAGCUAGUUGGUAAGGUAACGGCUUACCAAGGCGACGAUGCGUAGCCGACCUGAGAGGGUGAUCGGCCACACUGGAACUGAGACACGGUACAGACUCAUACGGGAGGCAGCAGUAGGGAAUCUUCCGCAAUGGGAGAAAGCCUGACGGAGCAACGCCGAGUGAGUGAUGAAGGUCUUCGGAUCGUAAAACUCUGUUAUUAGGGAAGAACAAAUGUGUAAGUAACUAUGAACGUCUUGACGGUACCUAAUCAGAAAGCAACGGCUAACUACGUG
rnacentral:rRNA from 1 species